GAGACCCACGCCAACAGUUGCCAGCAUGUCCUCCGGGAUGGUGGGGACACUGUUGGGACCGCCUCUGCUAAAGAGGAGGAAGGAAUGGGCAACGGUAGGUCAGCAUGCCCCGAAUUAUCCGGGCUACACGCGGGCUACAAUGGGCAGGACAAUGGGCUCCGACACCGAAAGGUGAAGGCAAUCUCUUAAACCUGCUCGUAGUUCGGAUUGCGGGUUGCAACUCGCCCGCAUGAAGCUGGAAUCUGUAGUAAUCGCGUCUCAAAAUGGCGCGGUGAAUAU
rnacentral:rRNA from 1 species